GACAGCCUCAGACUCAGGGCUGGGACCCUUGGGACUCAAAAGAGAGAAAAGGUGGAGAAAAGAGAAAGCUACUAUUUUCUUCAUUUUGCCCCUGCUAACAUCCAAUGCACUUAGGAGCCUCGAUGUCUGCUCUCCAAGAGAUGUCUGAUCUGAAAGCAUGUUGUGGUCCGCUACACACAAGAGCAAAAGAAGAGCAGGAAGGAGCUCAGUGCCAAGACCAUAGCCACAGGAAGAAAACCAGCUCUUAGGGCUGCAGCUCUAAAGACAGGCCAGGUCAUUACAGGAACGUCUGCUCCCUUAGCCUUGCCAGACAGAGGAGGGUUAAGAAAGGAACUGCUGACCCUGAUAUGCAAACUGCCACGAGUGCUUCCUGCCUUUCUAUCAGCAUCAGAUGGCUAGCGAUGGAUGGCUGUAAGAUUGAUGUAAUUAACAUUUUAUUUUCAGGGCCACAGUGCUGGUUGGGUGCACCAGACAAAUCAACCAACAGAUUAAAGAGUGAUGGAGAAAGCUGUGUUUUGGGCCUCAUUUGGGAACAGAAUGGAAGAGCUGAGGGUGGAAGGGACCUCAGCAAGUCUUCUGAUCCAUGUUUCAACCUUCAUUUCCCCGAUAACCUCAAGGAGAGAGUUGCUUUUCCUGUUCUUCAAAUGAGUUCCUUGAAUUCACACUCUAUUUCUUUGAAUUUGCACAGACUGUUGAGGAACAGGCGGCAGGGUCACUCUACCUCUGCUCAGACAAGCCUGGAAAAGAAAAAUUUUACAUAGAAGACUGAGCUGGAAGAGGCCUGGGAACUUGGGAAUUCCCACUUCCACACUGCCCACUCUAGUUCUCAAGAGGCGGCAGCUAUGCUGCAGUACAGACCACUGAAUUUAGAUUCAGGAAUCUGGGUUUAUAUCUCACUCCUCCUCUUACUUGCAAGUCACUUACCACACCAGGCCUCGGUUUCCUGGACAAUAAAAUGGGGAUAACGUUGCCC
rnacentral:lncRNA from 1 species